CAGCCGCCGCGGUAAUACGAGGGGGGCAAGCGUUGCUCGGAAUGACUGGGCGUAAAGGGCGCGUAGGCGGAUUGUUUAGUUAGGAGUGAAAUUCCUGGGCUUAACCUGGGGACUGCGCUUAAUACAGGCAGUCUAGAGUGAGGAAGAGGGUUGUGGAAUUCCCAGUGUAGAGGUGAAAUUCGUAGAUAUUGGGAAGAACACCGGUGGCGAAGGCGGCAACCUGGUCCUUGACUGACGCUGAGGCGCGAAAGCGUGGGGAGCAAACAGGAUUAGAUACCCCAGUAGUCCCUGUCUCUUAUAC
rnacentral:rRNA from 1 species